rnacentral:rRNA from 1 species
AUGAACGCUUGCGGCGUGCUUAACACAUGCAAGUCGAACGAGAAGUGAAGACGGAAACCUUCGGGCGGAAGGCUUUAUUUCGAGUGGCGGACGGGUGAGUAACGCGUGGGUAACCUGCCUCAUACAGGGGGAUAACAGUUGGAAACGACUGUUAAUACCGCAUAAGACCACAGCACCGCAUGGUGCGGGGGUAAAAACUCCGGUGGUAUGAGAUGGACCCGCGUUCGAUUAGCCAGUUGGCGGGGUAACGGCCCACCAAAGCGACGAUCGAUAGCCGAUCUGAGAGGAUGACCGGCCACAUUGGGACUGAGACACGGCCCAAACUCCUACGGGAGGCAGCAGUGGGGAAUAUUGCACAAUGGGGGAAACCCUGAUGCAGCGACGCCGCGUGAGUGAAGAAGUAUUUCGGUAUGUAAAGCUCUAUCAGCAGGGAAGAAAAUGACGGUACCUGAGUAAGAAGCCCCGGCUAACUACGUG